rnacentral:rRNA from 1 species
UACGGAGGAUGCAAGCGUUAUCCGGAAUGAUUGGGCGUAAAGCGUCCGCAGGUGGCUAUGUAAGUCUGCUGUUAAAGAGUGAGGCUCAACCUCAUAAAAGCAGUGGAAACUACAUGGCUAGAGUGCGUUCGGGGCAGAGGGAAUUCCUGGUGUAGCGGUGAAAUGCGUAGAUAUCAGGAAGAACACCGGUGGCGAAAGCGCUCUGCUAGGCCGCAACUGACACUGAGGGACGAAAGCUAGGGGAGCGAACGGG